rnacentral:tRNA from 1 species
CGCCGGGUGGCCGACGGCGACGCGGUGUUCAGCCCGCGGCUGGCCGGCUUCGUGCUGGACGCGUUCGCGUCGCGGCCCGACGUCC